AAAAAUACAUGAAAAUGAAAUAAUAAAAAAUAAUAACAAAGAGUUAAAUGCAUUACUAAAAGGUUUAAAAGUGCAAGAAGAAAAAAACGAACAAACUGUAGAUAUGUUAAAAGCCAAUCUACAAAGUAAUGAAAAAGAAAAUGUAACAAAAGAAGAAAAAAUAAAAGAACAAAAUUAUAAAAUAGAUAAAUUAUUAACAGAAAUGAGUAAAAACGAAAAAAUGAUAGAAAUGUUAAAAAAUGUGAAAAUAAAAAUGGAAAAUGAAAAUAUGAUAUUAAAAAAAAAUUUAUUAAGCACUCAAGAAAGUUUAAAACAAAUAGAAAAAAAUAGUUAUGAUACAUAUGAAAUAAAAUCGUAUUUAGACACUGUUUUAGACCAAAAUAAAAUAUUUCUAAACGAACUGGAAAAAGAAAAAAACGAAAAAGAAACACUUGAAAAAAAUAUAGAAAGUUUAUCUAAUAAAAUAAACAUAUUAAACAUCAAACUAAACACAUAUAAAAAGAAAUGUGAUUUUUUUGCUAACAUAAUAAAAAAUAAUGAAGACCAGUUUAACAUAUAUGAAAAUAAGUUACUAAUGUUGGAACAAUAUUACCAUAAGAAAAGUAAAAAUGGUAGUAUUUUUUUCAAAAAGGAUGAGCUAACGAAAAAAGAAAACAUAUUGGUGGUAGAUGUGAAAACGGAAAACAAUAAUGACAACCAAUUUAAAAACAAACAAGAUGAUGUAUCAUCAUCAUCAUCACCACCACCACCACCACCACCAACAGCAAUAUAUGAUAUUCCCCAUAUAUAUAUACAAAACGAAAUAGAUAUACAUAAAAACCAUUUGUAUAAAAUACAAAAGUUAAUAAAAAUAUUAAAAGAAAAAAAUUUAUUAAUAAAUGAUAAAAAUUAUAAACUAAAAAAAUAUAAAAUGCUAAAUAAACAAUUAGAAAAUAGUUUAAAUAAUUAUAAAAACGAAAUAAAAUGUUUAAAUGAAAAUAUACAUAAUUUAGAAAAAGAAAUACAAAUAAAAGAUAUAAAAAAUAUAAUAGUCCCACCAAAAGUUAUUUUAAAUAUACCUAAAUCUACUUCUUUUGAAAAUAAUUUAAAAACUGAAUUAAAAGAAUUUAUAGGUAGUUCUUCCAUCUUUUUGGAAAACACAUUUAAAUAUAUAAAUGAAAACCCAAUUAAAAAAAACCUACAAUCCAAAACAUUCUUUUCGUCUUCUCCAGCAGAAGAAAGUAAGCAAACGAUUGAUUCGGGCAAUCAAGGCCUCAUUGUCGAUACCAGUGUCAUUACUAAUGCUAAUGAAGACAAACAAAUGUCGAAUAGUUCUUUAGAAAGCUUAACACAUUAUUACAGUAAAGACAUUGGAGAUGUCAAAGAAUAUGCUAAAAAUUUUAUAUAUAAUAAUAUGAACAUGUUACCAGGUUUUAAAA
rnacentral:lncRNA from 1 species